rnacentral:misc_RNA from 1 species
AACGCACCUUGCGCUCCUUGGUAUUCCGAGGAGCAUGCCUGUUUGAGUGUCAUUAAAUUCUCAAUCUUACCAUCUUUUAUUAGUUGGGAAAGACUUGGAUGUGGGGGGGAAAUUUUUGAAGGUUUUUCGAAGCCUUCUCCCCUGAAAUGCAUUAGCUGGAUGCUCGCGCAGACAGUCUAUUGGUGUGAUAAUUAUCUAUGCCAUUAGCUGACUGCCAUUAGUAGCUCUGCUUCUAACUGUCUUUGGACAAUUUAUGACAAUUUGACCUCAAAUCAGGUAGGACUACCCGCUGAACUUAA